rnacentral:tRNA from 3 species
AGGGCAGUAGCUCAAUUGGUAGAGUCCCGGUCUCCAAAACCGGCGGUUGGGGGUUCGAGUCCCUCCUGCCCUGCGA